GUCAGUGUGGCGUAAUGGUUUGAUUAUUGGACUAAGACUCUAAGAAGCCAGGGUAUGAAUCCCUGCUCAGACA